CUUUUACAGUUGCUGAUGAGGACUGAGGACUGAACUGAGGAAGACUGAGGGCUGAGGAAGACAGAGGAUUGAGGACAACCAAGUUGCUGACGGCGCGGAGAGCCGAUGGACUGGAGAGCGACGACCGACGAUUGCGUGGAGAGCGACGACCGACGCCGACGAUUGUGUGGAGGCCGCGAAGAGGCUCUUCUUGCAUGCAAGACAUCAAAAAGCGAAAAAAAUGUCAACAACACAAAGAAGCAAGUACUGGGAGAGAGGAUUUGGGUUAGAAGCUAGAGAAAUUGAAAAAACCUUGGGAGAAAACUACAAAUCCACCAGUGACAGAGAGACUAGAGAGCGACAGUGAGGUGAGGAGGCAGAGGCA
rnacentral:lncRNA from 1 species